rnacentral:lncRNA from 1 species
CGCAAAUGUAAAUGAGACCACCUUUAAGGCUGUCACAAGCAAAGAAAUUCAACUGGGGUCUUGAUGACUGAAGGGAUGUUAAAGAAUCUCUCAUCAGCGGACCCGAAAGAAUAAAGCAAAAGCUAUCAGUGAUGUGCAGAUGUUAUCAGGAUGUGACUUCAGCACAACCCCACAUCCCCAUAGAGACAAAACUGCAGAUGUUUAAUAUAUUACAGGAACUUACCACAAAUUUUGUUUUGCUUCUCCGACUUUGUAAUGUUUAAUUUUUUUUUUUAAGGCAUGAAUUGCACUUUUGAAGAACUUCCUCUAAUCUUAAUGACUUUGUGAGUCUAAAUGUCUACUACUAGGAUGCGGAGAGUUCUGGGUAAAGUGGCAGAGCAGUUACCACCUGGGUGUGGGGCAGUGUGAAGGAUGCAAGGGCGGGAUCUGUUCUAGCGCUCAGAUGCAGAUGGUGGGAAGGGAGUUCUCAUUGCUGUGUGAUAAUGGAACCCUAGGUGUGAAAUAGAGACCUUGCACUGAUUUCACAACAAACCUACUUGAAAUCUGCUCACAUCCUGGCAAACCAGAAGAAUUCAUAGAAACUCACAUUUGUUAAACAGAGUAGAAAAUAUUUGGAGAUGUGAGCAAAUAGUUCUGCCCGGAAGAUUUUUUUCUUCUUUUUAAGUUGAAAAUGAUAGAGUAAUGAGUUAAUAGAUUAUUUAUAUUGUUUCAAAGGUAAUGAUUUACCUGGGUGAGGAUUCUGUUUGGGGGGACUGCUGGGUUUUCAUUUUUAUGUUCUUGAAAUCAGCCAAUUGGAAAGUCAUGAAAAAGUUGUACCAAGACCUAUAUUUCUUUCGUUUUGAUUAGUUUAGACACAGUCAUUUUCCAGGAAAGUUUUGUUUUCUAAAAAAAUCAGUCCAUCUACUCUGUUCAGAUGCUGUUGUGACCCCAUCUCUGAGUGAGUGUGGGCGGUUGGGGUGGAGUAGGUCAGGUUGGUCCCCUAUUCUGCCGCCCACUGACAGUUUUUCUUCUCUUCCUCAGGGAGCCAACCUUGCCCUUCGGGGCCUUUAUGCCAAACAAGCCUACAUUGUCUGCAUCAAAAGGACAGAAGAUUACAGAAUAAAAACAGAAAAAGGAGAAGAAGCAAUGAUUGAAAAGAAAAGCCACCUAUAUCCUCCUGCUAAGUUUCCCUUGAGAAGAAUGAGCAAAAUGAGCUCUAUAGCCUCAUAACCAUGGAAGGGAUUUCCUGUACAAUGUUCACAACUUUGGCAAGAUUUAUGGUGUCACAAUUACUGGCCAUGACCAGACUCUCUGGAAGGAAACAGAGAUUCCCUGGACAGUGAAGAGAUCCCACCAGGUAUCUCCUGGGGCAGUAGAAUUUAGC